GACGAACGCUGGCGGCGUGCCUAAUACAUGCAAGUCGAGCGCAGGAAGCCGUCUGAACCCUUCGGGGGGACGACGGUGGAAUGAGCGGCGGACGGGUGAGUAACACGUAAAGAACCUGCCCAUAGGUCUGGGAUAACCACGAGAAAUCGGGGCUAAUACCGGAUGUGUCAUCGGACCGCAUGGUCCGCUGAUGAAAGGCGCUCCGGCGUCGCCCAUGGAUGGCUUUGCGGUGCAUUAGCUAGUUGGUGGGGUAACGGCCCACCAAGGCGACGAUGCAUAGCCGACCUGAGAGGGUGAUCGGCCACACUGGGACUGAGACACGGCCCAGACUCCUACGGGAGGCAGCAGUAGGGAAUCUUCCACAAUGGACGAAAGUCUGAUGGAGCAACGCCGCGUGAACGAUGAAGGCUUUCGGGUCGUAAAGUUCUGUUGUAAGGGAAGAACAAGUGCCGCAGGCAAUGGCGGCACCUUGACGGUACCUUGCGAGGAAGCCACGGCUAACUACGUGCCAGCCGCCGCGGUAAAAC
rnacentral:rRNA from 1 species